AACGAACGCUGGCGGCAUGCCUAACACAUGCAAGUCGAACGAGACCUUCGGGUCUAGUGGCGCACGGGUGCGUAACGCGUGGGAACCUGCCCUUAGGUUCGGAAUAACUCCCCGAAAGGGGUGCUAAUACCGGAUAAUUUCUUCGGACCAAAGAUUUAUCGCCUUUGGAUGGGCCGGCGUUGUAUUAGCUUGUUGUUAGGGUAAAAGCCUACCAAGGCGACGAUCCAUAGCUGGUCUGAGAGGAUGAUCAUCCACACUGGGACUGAGACACGGCCCAGACUCCUACGGGAAGCAGCAGUGGGGAAUAUUGGAAAAUGGGCGAAAGCCUGAACCAGCAAUGACGCGUGAGUGAUGAAGGCCUUAGGGUUGUAAAGCUCUUUUACCCGGGAUGAUAAUGACAGUACCGGGAGAAUAAGCUCCGGCUAACUCCGUG
rnacentral:rRNA from 1 species